AUUGAACGCUGGCGGCAGGCCUAACACAUGCAAGUCGAACGAGUGGCGGACGGGUGAGUAAUGUCUGGAAAACUGCCUGAUGGAGGGGGAUAACUACGGGAAACGGUAGCUAAUACCGCAUACCAUCAGAUGUGCCCAGAUGGGAUUAGCUUGUUGGUGGGGUAACGGCUCACCAAGGCGACGGUCCCUGGCUGGUGUGAGAGGAUGACCAGCCACACUGGAACUGAGACACGGUCCAGACGCCGACGGGAGGCAGCAGUGGGGAAUUUUGCACAAUGGGCGCAAGCCUGAUGCAGCCAUGCCGCGUGUAUGAAGAAGGCCUUCGGGUUGUAAAGUACUUUCAGCGGGGAGGCGUUACCCGCAGAAGAAGCACCGGCUAACUCCGUGCCAGCAGCCGCGGUAUAC
rnacentral:rRNA from 1 species